UACGUAGGGUGCAAGCGUUAAUCGGAAUUACUGGGCGUAAAGGGCUCGUAGGCGGCCAACUAAGUCCGACGUGAAAUCCCCAGGCUUAACCUGGGAACUGCGUCGGAUACUGGAUGGCUUGAAUCCGGGAGAGGGAUGCGGAAUUCCAGGUGUAGCGGUGAAAUGCGUAGAUAUUAGGAAGAACACCAGUGGCGAAGGCGGCUCACUGGUCCGGUACUGACGCUGAGGUGCGAAGCGUGGGAGCAAACAGG
rnacentral:rRNA from 1 species